rnacentral:rRNA from 1 species
CAAACGGGUGAGUAACACGUAGGCAAUCUGCCUUUAGGAGGGGGAUAACCCCGCGAAAGCGGGGCUAAUACCGCGUAAGACCACAAUUCCUGCGGGAAUAGGGGUUAAACCACGGUGCAAGCCGUGGGCCUGAAGAGGAGCCUGCGGCCUAUCAGCUUGUUGGUGGGGUAAUGGCCCACCAAGGCUAAGACGGGUAGCCGGCCUGAAAGGGUGAUCGGCCACACUGGCACUGAGACACGGGCCAG